UUUUUGUCACUAUCUUCUGUGCACAAAUGUUUAUCUUUUGACAGCACACGCAAGUGUUUAUCCGUAGCUAUCGUCAAAUGAAAUAAAAAACCAGUCUCUAUCUUCAAAUGACAGUUAUAGUUUUUCUAAACUCUAAGUUGAAUGUAAUUAAUUUUUUUUAUUUGUAUGUUGUUAUUAAAAUUGUAGUCAUGAUAUUAAAUUGCGUGAAUUGAACGUAUCACAUGGAUGAUUAGUUGUUCUAAAAGAUUUUUGAAACUAAUAAGUUGACAAUGAAAAAA
rnacentral:lncRNA from 1 species